rnacentral:lncRNA from 1 species
CAGGCUACUUUCAGGUCUUAUCCUUCAUCUCACCCCACAUCCCACCCCAGUGCUUGGUCCCAAAUCCUAAUGGGUCUCCACCUUCCAGAGCCCUCAUCCACUGCCAGAACCAAAGAGCGAACACCUUAUAACACGGGGUGGCCACCCUGACCAUCAACACAGAAACGGACCUGAAAGAGCUCCCCAUCUUGGUAUCAACGCUUCGGGGAAAGGAUGUCCGGGUCAGAGGCUGCAGGGGCCGGGCGGGCUAAAGGUGACCCACCGCCCUCUUCCGGGGGCCAGGCUGCUAAGGCGGAAGUGACGUAGGUGGGCUGAAACCAAGGGCCGGAUCCCCGCUGUUGGCUGGGAUCACUUCCGGACUGAGUGGCUCCACUCCUCUCACCCUUGCUGUCCUUUGAGUCCCAGGUCCUGAGGAAGGGCUGGGUCCUCAGUGCCAAACAGCAAUUAAGAAGCUCAGCCAUCAUCACGUGACCCAACGGUGUUGCCCUCUUUCCGCCUCCUGGCCUUUUAUCGACUGCCGUGGGGAAUAAACCGGGAUCUGGAGCUGUGGCUGAUUCCAUCUGGGUUGACGUCAAUGACACAAGCAUGGAACGAGUCCGAAUCCUCAGACAUCAAGCACUUCAUGCUGGGCCCGGUGGCAGACACCUGUGAUCCCUGGUACUCGGGAGGCUGAGGCAGGAGGAUCGCAAGUUCAAAUCCAGCCUGGACCAUUUAGCUCAAAAUAAAAUAAAAAGGGCUGGGGAUGUAGCUCAGUGUGAAGACCCUGGGUUCAAUCCCUGGGACCACAAAAAAAAAAAAAAAAGAAGUAGAAGAAGAAGAAGGUCGCCUUCAUGUUAUCUUGUUCAGCGACGAGCAGGCAAACACCCGCAGCUGGGAGGAGUCAGGAGGGUGGAAGGAACGUGGUAAGAGCUCAAAAGGGACACGGUGUGAGGGUCUAUUAGAGUCUGCGGCUCCGGACACCACCACUUGGUCCCCGAACGGGUCCCACGGGUCCCACAUCCAAGUUCCUCUUCACCCUGCAGGUCUGGACGCGGUGGCGGGCGGAACACGACACUGGCUGCACGGCAGGCACCGGCGGGGACAGACUCGCCAUGUUCGGGCACGCGGGCUGGGCAUGGAGAUCAGCACAGGCCUGGACGCCCGGCCAGCUCAGGAUGACCUGGAGACCAAAGCCAGAGGCAACGGCACAGGCACCAUCUCGGCUUUGCAGUUUUUCUUCUUGGCAAGUUCAUCAGUACAGAGUCCCAAAACCAGUUCCUCGACUUCUGCGCAGAUCACAUUCCUGGAAAAACACAACCAAGCAGAUUCUGUGAAAAUGGAACAAGAGAUUCUUGUGCUACACAGGACAGUGGCCAGGUCCUGAAAAAAAAAGGACACAUGAAGGGUGACACAAAGCACAAUCCCCUGAAUUCCUUCCCACCUCGCAGGUGUAGGACCUGUAUUUCUACAGCUCUGUAUAUGUUAUUUUUUUAAAAAAAUAAUUGGAUUUAUUUAUGGGAUCUAUUUUUUUAUUACAAAAUAGAUGGAUGCGCUAGGUGUGGUGGUGCACACGCCUGUAAUCCCAGCACUCGGGAGGCUGAGGCAGGAG